CUUUCUCCGCCGGCGACCGGCGCACGGGUGAGUAACACGUAUGCAACCUGCCCCUGUCAGGGGGACAACCCGCCGAAAGGCGGGCUAAACCCGCGUACAUGCCACCGGGGCAUCCCGGAGGCAGGAAAGGCUUCGGCCGGACAGGGAUGGGCAUGCGGCGCAUUAGGCAGUAGGCGGGGUAACGGCCCACCUGACCGACGAUGCGUAGGGGUUCUGAGAGGAAGGUCCCCCACACUGGUACUGAGACACGGACCAGACUCCUACGGAAGGCAGCAG
rnacentral:rRNA from 1 species